GUGGGGAAUAUUGCACAAUGGGCGAAAGCCUGAUGCAGCAACGCCGCGUGAGUGAUGAAGGUCUUCGGAUUGUAAAGCUCUGUCUUUUGGGACGAUAAUGACGGUACCAAAGGAGGAAGCCACGGCUAACUACGUGCCAGCAGCCGCGGUAAUACGUAGGUGGCGAGCGUUGUCCGGAUUUACUGGGCGUAAAGGGUGCGUAGGCGGAUGUUUAAGUGAGAUGUGAAAUACCCGGGCUUAACUUGGGUGCUGCAUUUCAAACUGGAUAUCUAGAGUGCAGGAGAGGAGAAUGGAAUUCCUAGUGUAGCGGUGAAAUGCGUAGAGAUUAGGAAGAACACCAGUGGCGAAGGCGAUUCUCUGGACUGUAACUGACGCUGAGGCACGAAAGCGUGGGUAGCAAACAGGAUUAGAUACCCUGGUAGUCCACGCCGUAAACGAUGAGUACUAGGUGUAGGAGGUAUCGACCCCUUCUGUGCCGCAGUAAACACAUUAAGUACUCCGCCUGGGAAGUACGAUCGCAAGAUUAAAACUCUAAAGUGAAUUGAC
rnacentral:rRNA from 1 species